CUUCCAAUAAACAUUCCGCCGCUACGAUUUUCCUACAGCACCUUAAACGAAGAUCAUUCUCGCCAGUUCAGUUCUCGAUCAAAGCUCAAACCAGCAACACCGAAUAAAGACUUUUUCCACAAACGUGUCCCGACUUAUUCUAAAUAAUCUAUUACGUAGCUAUACGCUCGUAACAGCGCGCACAGUGCUAUCAUCACGCUGCCCUCAUGACGUGAUGGAGACAUGCGUGAGGGCGCAAUGAGUCGCAUUACGCAGUCACGUUGUGAGCAUCACGCCGUGCGCGCACGAUGCUAUCAUUAUUUAAACUUAUUAUGCAUGUAUAUGAGGUAAUACUGUUUAAAGUUACCGCUUUGAAAAGCAUGAUUCGAAGAUUAUUACAAGGCGUUCCUGCAUUUUACCUACCUCGCAUUCGCGACGGUAGGGGGCUUCACAGUAGUAUGCCCUCUUCUUUCGCGACGAUAGUCGUCGGUGUCUUUCAGAAACAACGGGUUUUGAUACGAAGCAAAACGUGCAUCUCUAUACUCUUUCUUAAGGAUUGACGGACUGACGAGUCCCUGAUUCAGGAAUCUCAUUCGAUUCAUACGCUCGUAUCAAGUAAGAAGGGCUUCUUUCUAAGAGCAUACUGCGGAAGCCAUUUUCUCUUGUUGCAACGUGCUGCUACGCAGCAAGACUCUCGUGAGUAAAACCCGCGACACACGGUACUAUUUUCUCUGCUGGAUUGCUUACGUGCGCCUGUGCUGGCAAUUUUGCUAUUCUGGAAAUUGUGUGUCUACUGGUCACGCUACCGACUGAUAUGCUGGAUUUCCAUGAUAAAACAAGUGCUAUUUUUCUUGCGUGGUUCUGUGCUGGCUCAUUGCAAGAGCCAAUCAUGACACAACCUCAUUAGUUAGGUUAAGUUAAGUUACGUGAAAGUAUUCUCUUGGUUGGUGUUAGUAUUGUUAUACAUUAACAAAUAUGAUGUCCAUAGCAAAUUGCAAAGCAAAAAUUAAAAAUAAUGCAAUUGCAUUUUUUUAUGUUGCACUGCAGUGGCAAUGGCAUGCUCCAUAUUUACUUCAGUUUGCUUAGCCAGUACGGAAGCCCGCAUCGUCUGAAGCCAAGCCAACAAUAUGGCCAGUAGCACUGCCAGCACUGCUGUCUACACGAUAGUAAGUACGCACAUCUAGUUAGCAAUCCAGCAGAGAAAAUAGUGCCGUGUGCCGCGGGUUUAACUCUCGUGCUGCUACGCAGCAAGGAUCUUUUGAGGAUCACAAGUGCUGUUACGCAGCAAGGCUCUCUUAUCAGAUAAUCGAUAAACAAUGUGAUGCACAAUAUGGUACACUGACUUGUGAGUGUCUACUAUGGGAGGAUCCUCACACUAUUCUCAUGUGUUUUAGAAAUUCUAUUAAAAAAAUGGAUAUAAGAACAUCCGAAUUUGUACGUACAUGGGAUUCUUCAAAAUAUUGCGCAUCAUCGUGUUUGUCAUCAGAUAAUCGGUACACUUUUAUGACGGGACAUGAUAUUUGUGUCCUAUGGGAUCAGAGACAGAGUGUUGCCGUUCAAACGUAUACUGUGGAACAAAGACUUGACAGAGAGAUAUAUGCUUUAGAAUUUGAUAACGCUCAUAUAUAUGCUGCUACAGAGUAUGGUCUUUUUGAAUUGAAUUUUACAGGAAGAGACCACUUUGACCACAAAGAAAUAAAAAAACUUUUUGGCAAUUUUUAUUAAAUAAAAGAAGUUGA